AGUGAGAGAAAAAUUCAAGACUUCUUCAAAAUAUGAACACCUUCAUCGGACUGUUUGUAGCACUGCUAGCUGCGUGCCUGAUGUCGUUCUCCAACGCCUGUUGUUGUCAUCACGGCAGCCACAGCAGCCACCACAGCAGGCACGGCAUCCCCAUCCCCAUCCCCUACCCCAUGGGCGGCAGCAGCGGCGGCAGCCACUCCGCCAACAUCCCCCUCAUCAUCACAACGACUGGAAAAUAGGAACAGGUGCUGGUUCCUUCUUCCUGUUAGUGGAAGCAUGUACACGGUGUCAACAUGGGACGACAAAUCAACUCUACAAAUGCCUGACACCUGAUACUGUGUUUAUGCUUGUGAUAUUAAACAGAUGUACAUACUA